GUGAGUAACGCGUGGGCAACCUGCCCCAAAGCUCGGGAUAACACUCCGAAAGGAGUGCUAAUACCGGAUGUAGUUGCGGUACUGCAUGGUACUGCAAAAAAAGGAGAAAUCCACUUUGGGAUGGGCCCGCGUCUGAUUAGCUAGUUGGUGGGGUAACGGCCUACCAAGGCGACGAUCAGUAGCCGACCUGAGAGGGUGAUCGGCCACACUGGGACUGAGACACGGCCCAGACUCCUACGGGAGGCAGCAGUCGGGAAUAUUGGUCAAUGGGGGAAACCCUGAACCAGCAAUGCCGCGUGAGUGAUGAAGGUUUUCGGAUCGUAAAGCUCUGUCUUCGGGGACGAAUAAAUGACGGUACCCGAGGAGGAAGCCCCGGCUAACUACGUGCCAGCAGCCGCGGUAAUACGUAGGGGGCGAGCGUUGUCCGGAAUUACUGGGCGUAAAGGGCGAGUAGGCGGUUUAAUAAGUCAGAUGUGAAAUGCCAGGGCUCGACCCUGGAACUGCAUUUGAAACUAUUAGACUUGAGUGCAGGAGAGGAAAGUGGAAUUCCCAGUGUAGCGGUGAAAUGCGUAGAUAUUGGGAGGAACACCAGUGGCGAAGGCGACUUUCUGGACUGUAACUGACGCUGAGGCGCGAAAGCGUGGGGAGCAAACAGGAUUAGAUACCCU
rnacentral:rRNA from 1 species